AUCCAGCUGACGAGUCCAAAAUUUGAUGAAACGCGCGUCAAACUGGAU
rnacentral:hammerhead_ribozyme from 1 species